CUCAAAGUGCCCUGUCUGUGCUGGCACAGCUCAGUGUGUCCUGCUCUGGUGCUGCCCAUGGUGUCCCCUUUAUCACUGGGGAAGGUCAGGUGGGCACAAGGGGCAGAGGGGAUGGGAUGUGCUGUUCCUUGCCACUCUGAAAAUUGGUUUUGGUGUGUCUGAGUCACAGAAUGGUUUGUACCUUAAAGAUCAGCUUGUUCCAACUCCCCUACCAUCCCCUUCCACUAUCCCUGGUUCCAAGCCCCAUCCAACCUGGCCUGGAACAUUUCCAUGGGUGGGGCAGCCACAGCUUCUCUGAACAACCUGUGCCAGGGCCUCAGCACCCUCAGAGACAAGAAUUUCUUCUUAAUAUCUAAUCUAAACUUACUCUCUUUCAGUGUGAAGCCACUACUCCUUGUCCUAUUGAGAAUUAGAUCCUUGUCCUAUCAAGAAUUACAUCCUUCAGGCUCUGUGAAGAUGUCAAGGUGACCGUGUUGCCACUUGCUCCCAACCCUGACAUCAAGGCAGACAUUCCCUGUGGGGACAGCAUGUGGGUGUGAAGCAGCAGGUCUGGAAUGAUGUGUACAAUGCCAGAAGAGAAGGAUGAGAUACCAUUCCUGCUGGGACUGCUGCCCCUGAACCUAAAGCAAAUGCUCAGAAAGGUUUAUUGGACAGCCAGGCCUAUUUAUGAGCUCUCUGCUGGUCCUCUGAGCUUCAUUCUGACUUCAUUUUUCUGCAGGAAGGGGGUAAGCAAACUGCACUUUUCUUGUUGGGUUGAUGCUGAAUUUUUCUGAUGCUCCAGAAAACCACAGAUGUUCCCUUUCUUCUAACAAAUGUUCAAACCUCUUAUUUGCCAGUGUUAAUUAAAUAAACCAAAUUGCUGUGGGCA
rnacentral:lncRNA from 1 species